UUGAAUUCACAUGCUUGGCACUAAAAAUCUUGGAGCUUCAGAGUUGACUAUUCGUAUUUGAUCUUCCCAUGUUGGAUCUGAACUCAAAGCACAUCCAUCAUUCAUGACAACAAGAACCAACAAGACUGCACUCAUAGCACAUCUUCGGAUAAGGGCUUCAUCGAGCUGCUGCUGUCUCCAUCUCUGGAAUCAGCUUUCAGCUACUAAGGCAUGCAGAAUACCUUUUCUUUUUGCCCAACCCAAGGCAUGGACAACAAGUCUCCCUAGCAAUGACUAAGAUAAUGGUGCAUGACAUGAAUGGUGCAUAGAAUAUUGUGAUUAAGAUAGACUUUGUUGGGAAGGUACAUUUCCAACUGUGACUCCCCCCCCACCCCCCAAUACUUUUUAACUGGUUCAGCCUAAUCUGCUCUUAAAUGCACCAAAAGAUUCUUCCCUGCAUCUCGACAAACUUGUCCUAAUCAAAUUAUAAACCUAUGUGACCAAGUGAACACACAAUUAUGAGCAUGGUGCAAGUCCAUGGAUUCAUAUAGAGUAACAAUGGUCCAUGUGGUCCACUUACUUGCAUAGGGCUCCUAAAUGAUAAGAUGGAACAGCUUUAUGAGAAUAGAGUCUUCUGUUAUCCCUGUGUGUAGCCGAAGCCGAGGGCUUGUUAUCUAGCAUGGAUCCCAUCUUCUUUUCCCUGUUCCCAUGCAACACACUGUUUAUGUACUCACCUCAUAAAGCAGCCCAUUUUUCAUCAGCAUCAGUAUUAUAAGCAUAAAAGCAGCUGUGUGUGUGUGUGUGUGUGUCCCAUUUUUCA
rnacentral:lncRNA from 1 species